CUGAAAAUUACUGGAAUUGAGAGGGUACCAGAAACCACACAGCUGGAAAGUACUGGACCUGAGCAGUCAAAGAAUACACACAGCUAAAAUCUACUUGACUGGAAACUAUUGGACAGCUGGAAACUACUGGCCUUGAGCAGGUACCAGAAACCACACAACUGGAAACUACUGGAUUUGAGCAGGUACCAGAAUCCACACAACUAGAAACUACUGGAUUUGAGCAGGUACCAGAAUCACACAACUGGAAACUACUGGACUUGAAACCACACAACUGGAAACUGCUGGACUUGAAACCACACAACUGGAAACUACUGGACCUGAAACCACACAACUGGAAACUACUGGACUUGAGCAGGUACCAGAAACCACACAACUGGAAACUACUGGAUUUGAGCAGGCACAGGAAACCACACAACUGGAAACUACUGGACUUGAGCAGGCACAGGAAACCACACAACUGGAAACUACUGUACUUGAGCAGGCACUGGAAACCGCUCAAAAGUUUGCUUAUUUUCCACUUUUUUUGAUGGCAAAAGUUCUGACAAAGUGUGCAGCAGAAAGAGGCCUUAUAUGAUCUCGGAGUUCAUCACUCACUAGCGCAUCAAUGUAUGUAUCUUUAUUAGAAAG
ensembl:lncRNA